rnacentral:rRNA from 1 species
AGGUUAAGUGAAUAAGGGCGCACGGUGGAUGCCUUGGCACUAGGAGCCGAUGAAGGACGGGACUAACACCGAUAUGCUUUGGGGAGCUGUACGUAAGCUAUGAUCCAGAGAUUUCCGAAUGGGGGAACCCAGCAUCUUUAAUAGGAUGUUACGAUUGUGUGAAUACAUAGCACAUUCGAGGUAGACGCAGAGAACUGAAACAUCUAAGUACCUGCAGGAAGAGAAAGAAAAUUCGAUUCCCUGAGUAGCGGCGAGCGAAACGGGAAAAGCCCAAACCAACAAGCUUGCUUGUUGGGGUUGUAGGACUCCAAUAUGGUCGUUCUUUCAGAUAGUCGAAUGACUUGGAAAAGUCAGUCAAAGAGGGUAAAAACCCCGUAGACGAAAUGUGGAAGACACCUAGGAGGAUCCUGAGUACGGCGGAACACGAGAAAUUCCGUCGGAAUCCGGGAGGACCAUCUCCCAAGGCUAAAUACUCCCUAGUGACCGAUAGUGAACCAGUACCGUGAGGGAAAGGUGAAAAGCACCCCGGAAGGGGAGUGAAAUAGAACCUGAAACCGUGUGCCUACAACAAGUCAAAGCCCGUUAAUGGGUGAUGGCGUGCCUUUUGUAGAAUGAACCGGCGAGUUACGAUUGCAUGCGAGGUUAAGUUGAAGAGACGGAGCCGCAGCGAAAGCGAGUCUGAAUAGGGCGUUUGAGUAUGUAGUCGUAGACCCGAAACCAUGUGAUCUACCCAUGUCCAGGUUGAAGGUGCGGUAAAACGCACUGGAGGACCGAACCCACGUACGUUGAAAAGUGCGGGGAUGAGGUGUGGGUAGCGGAGAAAUUCCAAACGAACUUGGAGAUAGCUGGUUCUCUCCGAAAUAGCUUUAGGGCUAGCCUCGGAAUUGAGAAUGAUGGAGGUAGAGCACUGUUUGGACUAGGGGCCCAUCUCGGGUUACCGAAUUCAGAUAAACUCCGAAUGCCAUUCAUUCAUAUCCGGGAGUCAGACUGUGAGUGAUAAGAUCCAUAGUCGAAAGGGAAACAGCCCAGACCACCAGCUAAGGUCCCAAAAUAUAUGUUAAGUGGAAAAGGAUGUGGGGUUGCACAGACAACUAGGAUGUUGGCUUAGAAGCAGNNNNNNUUUAAAGAGUGCGUAAUAGCUCACUAGUCGAGUGACCCUGCGCCGAAAAUGUACCGGGGCUAAACAUAUUACCGAAGCUGUGGAGUACACCUUUAGGUGUAUUGGUAGGAGAGCGUUCUAAGGGCGUCGAAGGCAGAUCGUGAGGACUGCUGGAGCGCUUAGAAGUGAGAAUGCCGGUAUGAGUAGCGAAAGACAGGUGAGAAUCCUGUCCACCGAAUGACUAAGGUUUCCUGGGGAAGGCUCGUCCGCCCAGGGUUAGUCGGGACCUAAGCCGAGGCCGAUAGGCGUAGGCGAUGGAUAACAGGUUGAUAUUCCUGUACCCGUUGUUUUUGUUUGAGCAAUGGAGGGACGCAGGAGGCUAAGGAAUGCAGACGAUCGGAAAUGUCUGUCCAAGCAGUAAGUCUGAAGAGGAGUNAAAUGCUUCUUUUCUUAAGGACAAGCUGUGAUGGGGAGGGAAAUAAUAGUACCGAAGUUCCUGAUGUCACACUGCCGAGAAAAGCUUCUAGUGAGAAAACAGCGGCCCGUACCGCAAACCGACACAGGUAGUCGAGGAGAGAAUCCUAAGGUGAGCGAGAGAACUCUCGUUAAGGAACUCGGCAAAAUGACCCCGUAACUUCGGGAGAAGGGGUGCUGAUCAUACGAUCAGCCGCAGUGAAUAGGCCCAAGCGACUGUUUAUCAAAAACACAGGUCUCUGCAAAAUCGUAAGAUGAAGUAUAGGGGCUGACGCCUGCCCGGUGCUGGAAGGUUAAGAGGAGUGCUUAGCGCAAGCGAAGGUACGAAUUGAAGCCCCAGUAAACGGCGGCCGUAACUAUAACGGUCCUAAGGUAGCGAAAUUCCUUGUCGGGUAAGUUCCGACCCGCACGAAAGGCGUAACGAUUUGGGCACUGUCUCAACGAGAGACUCGGUGAAAUUUUAGUACCUGUGAAGAUGCAGGUUACCCGCGACAGGACGGAAAGACCCCAUGGAGCUUUACUGUAGUUUGAUAUUGAGUGUCUGUACCGCAUGUACAGGAUAGGUAGGAGCCGUAGAAAUCGGAACGCUAGUUUCGAUGGAGGCGCUGGUGGGAUACUACCCCUGCGUUAUGGCCACUCUAACCCGCACCACUGAUCGUGGUGGGAGACAGUGUCAGAUGGGCAGUUUGACUGGGGCGGUCGCCUCCUAAAAGGUAACGGAGGCGCCCAAAGGUUCCCUCAGAAUGGUUGGAAAUCAUUCGAAGAGUGUAAAGGCAGAAGGGAGCUUGACUGCGAGACCAACAAGUCGAGCAGGGACGAAAGUCGGGCUUAGUGAUCCGGUGGUUCCGCAUGGAAGGGCCAUCGCUCAACGGAUAAAAGCUACCCUGGGGAUAACAGGCUUAUCUCCCCCAAGAGUCCACAUCGACGGGGAGGUUUGGCACCUCGAUGUCGGCUCGUCGCAUCCUGGGGCUGUAGUCGGUCCCAAGGGUUGGGCUGUUCGCCCAUUAAAGCGGCACGCGAGCUGGGUUCAGAACGUCGUGAGACAGUUCGGUCCCUAUCCGUCGCGGGCGUUGGAAAUUUGAGAGGAGCUGUCCUUAGUACGAGAGGACCGGGAUGGACUUACCGCUGGUGUACCAGUUGUUCUGCCAAGGGCAUUGCUGGGUAGCUAUGUAGGGAAGGGAUAAACGCUGAAAGCAUCUAAGUGUGAAGCCCACCUCAAGAUGAGAUUUCCCAUUUCUUUAAGAAAGUAAGAUCCCUGAGAGAUGAUCAGGUAGAUAGGUCAGGAGUGGAAGUACAGUGAUGUAUGGAGCGGACUGAUACUAAUCGAUCGAGGACUUAACCAAUU